rnacentral:misc_RNA from 1 species
CUUGAGCUGUUUUGGACCCGUGUCUGUUGGUAGAUCCCCCGACUUUUCGUGCGGCCGACUACUGACGCCGUGUCCCUUCAUUCGUGUGGCUUACGCCGCUAUUCCCUUUCGGAGGGCUUGCAGGCCGGUACCCGCCCUACGGGAAUUGGUGCUUGGUACACAGUUCCCUCGCGGUGGACACCUUUCGGUGUUCCGCUGCGGCCAAGCGGCUCUUGCGGCGUUGCCUCGUGGUGUUGGCACAUUUACGUGUCCGGUGCUAUCAAGGCAGCCUCGCUCGUGCUGUUGGUUUCGGAUGUUGCCCACGAUAAAGGCUCACGAUAAAGGCUUAUGUCUCUUAUUGUUGCCUAGACCCUUCGAAGCUCCCUGAACCCGAAAAAGGUGUCGUAGAACGAUGUGUUGCCUCUGCCUCUCCACAGUUAGUGGUAGGAUACGCAGCAUGCUGGGCCGAUGCAAGUAGGCGUAGGGGAGCUUGGCUCGCUCAAUUGCGACAACCGGCCCGGCUGUUGUCUGCCUUUACGGGUGGAUGGCUGCCGACGCUGGACGUCAAAGAGGNCGG